rnacentral:rRNA from 1 species
UACGGAGGGGGCUAGCGUUGUUCGGAAUCACUGGGCGUAAAGGGCGCGUAGGCGGCUCAUGAAGGCUGUGGUGAAAGUCCGGGGCUCAACCUCGGAUCGGCCGUGGCGACUCGUGGGCUGGAGCACUGUAGAGGCGGGUGGAAUUCCGGGUGUAGCGGUGGAAUGCGUAGAGAUCCGGAAGAACACCAAAGGCGAAGGCAGUGUCCUGGGGAGUACCUGACGCUCAGGUGCGAAAGCCAGGGGAGCGAACGGG